GAUGAACGCUAGCGGCAGGCCUAAUACAUGCAAGUCGAACGGGUGGUCGCAAGACCACUAGUGGCGCACGGGUGCGUAACGCGUAACCAACCUGCCCCGAUCUGGGGGAUAGCCCGCCGAAAGGCGGUUUAAUACCGCAUAUACCCGCAGCCUGGCAUCAGGCAACGGGGAAAGAUUUAUUGGAUCGGGAUGGGGUUGCGUGACAUUAGCUAGUUGGCGGGGUAAGGGCCCACCAAGGCGACGAUGUCUAGGGGACCUGAGAGGGUGAUCCCCCACACUGGCACUGAGAUACGGGCCAGACUCCUACGGGAGGCAGCAGUAGGGAAUAUUGGGCAAUGGGCGAGAGCCUGACCCAGCCAUGCCGCGUGCCGGAUGAAGGCCUUCUGGGUUGUAAACGGCUUUUCUCAGGGAAGAAAAAGACCUUGCGAGGUACACUGACGGUACCUGAGGAAUAAGCACCGGUUAACUCCGUG
rnacentral:rRNA from 1 species